GGGGUUGUGGCUCAGGGAUAGAGUGCUCCCCUAGCACGUGCGAGGCCCUGGGUUCGAUCCUCAGCACCACA
rnacentral:tRNA from 1 species